rnacentral:ncRNA from 1 species
AGAGCUGAAAUGCGGAUUGUAGUUCAGGAACACGUAUCCGCGGCACUGGUCGAUGGCAUGGAAAAGCGGGUUCCAGUCGAACAUAACAAGCAUGUAUCCGGGCAACGAAUUGGCGACGAACAUCUUGCCGCUGGCGAUCAUGUUGGCGCG